rfam:Ictidomys tridecemlineatus contig087678, whole genome shotgun sequence.
GGAGGUAUGGCUCACUGGCAGAGUGUUUGCCUAGUAGGCACAGGGCUCUGGGUUUGAGCCCCAGCACCACCA